AAAGAUUGUAGUUUUGCACUGUUUAUGUUCAACGUUUGACCGUCCGUCUUAUUUAAAUUUUUUUUUAUGAUUAGUAUUUUAUUUCUUAUUAGAUGAUAAAACAUAAAUAGUAAUUUAUGUGUGACCAAUUUUUUUUAUAAAUUUUUUAAAUAAGACAGACGGUUAAAAGUUAGAAACACAACAACUGUACCUGAA
rnacentral:pre_miRNA from 1 species